GGGGCGAAAGACUAAUCGAACCAUCGAGUAGCUGGUUCCCUCCGAAGUUUCCCUCAGGAUAGCUGGAACUUUUAUAAAUAGUUUUAUCAGGUAAAGCGAAUGAUUAGAAGCUCUGGGGAUGAAACAUCCUCGACUUAUUCUCAAACUUAAAUAGGUAAGAUGAUUGCAGUACUUGAUUGACUGUCAGUCUCUUGAAUAGUAAGUUCUUAGUGGGCCAUUUUUGGUAAGCAGAACUGGCGAUGUGGGAUGAACCAAACGUAAAGUUAAAAGUGCCUAAAAAUACGUUCAUCAGACACCACAAAAGGUGUUGACUCAUCUUGACAGUUGGACAGUGGCCAUGGAAGUCGGAAUCUGCUAAGGAGUGUGUAACAACUCACCAACCGAAUGAAUUAGCCCUGAAAA
rnacentral:rRNA from 1 species